GAAUUUUGGACAAUGGGGGCAACCCUGAUCCAGCCAUCCCGCGUGUGCGAUGAAGGCCUUCGGGUUGUAAAGCACUUUUGGCAGGGAAGAAAAGGCUAUGGCUAAUACCUGGAGCUGCCGACGGUACCUGCAGAAUAAGCACCGGCUAACUACGCGCCAGCCGCCGCGGUAAUACGUAGGGUGCAAGCGUUCAUCGGAAGUACUGGGCGUAAAGCGUGCGCAGGCGGGUCGGCAAGAAGGUUGUGAAAGCCCAGGGCUUAACCUUGGAACUGCAUUCUUAACUGCCGGGCUAGAGUAUGUCAGAGGGGGGUAGAAUUCCGCGUGUAGCAGUGAAAUGCGUAGAGAUGCGGAGGAAUACCGAUGGCGAAGGCAGCCCCCUGGGAUGAUACUGACGCUCAUGCACGAAAGCGUGGGGAGCAAAC
rnacentral:rRNA from 1 species